UACGAAGGGUGUAAACGUUGCCCGGAUUUAUUGGGCGUAAAGUGUUUCGUAGGCGUCCCAUCGCAUCUGGUUUUAAAGCCCAAGGCUCAACCUUGGAAAAGGACCAGAGAUGGAUGGGAUUGAAGGAUGUCGGGGUUACUGGAACUGUCGGUGUAGGGGUGAAAUCCGUUGAUAUCGAUAGGAACUCCGAAGGCGAAGGCGAGUAACUAGGCAUUAUUUGACGCUGAUGAACGAAAGCUAGGGGAGCGAAAGGG
rnacentral:rRNA from 1 species